AUUGAACGCUGGCGGCAGGCCUAACACAUGCAAGUCGAACGAGUGGCGGACGGGUGAGUAAUGUCUGGGAAACUGCCUGAUGGAGGGGGAUAACUACUGGAAACGGUAGCUAAUACCGCAUACCAUCAGAUGAACCCAUAUGGGAGUAUCUAGUUGGUGGGGUAAUGGCUCACCAAGGCUACGAUCCCUCGCUGGUCUGAGAGGAGGACCAGCCACACUGGGACUGAGACACGGACCAGACUCCUACGGGAGGCAGCAGUGGGGAAUAUUGCACAAUGGGCGCAAGCCUGAUGCAGCCAUGCCGCGUGUAUGAAGAAGGCCUUAGGGUUGUAAAGUACUUUCAGCGGGGAGGCGUUACCCGCAGAAGAAGCACCGGCUAACUCCGUGCCAGCAGCCGCGGUAAUAC
rnacentral:rRNA from 1 species